GUUCGUAGUGACUGCGGAGGAUCAUUA
rnacentral:rRNA from 3 species